rnacentral:lncRNA from 1 species
UUAACUUUUUAAAAUAGAAAUUUACUUAUCACUUGCAAUACCUGGAGACAUUUGGGGUGGUCACAAAGGAAGGUGAGGAAGGACCAAGCCACACAAGUGGUAAAGAAUGGAUUGAUUUUUCAACAAAAUAGUGCCCCCUCCCCCAAGAUGUAACUAAGAAGUAAGAGUAAAAGGUAAAUCUGGCAAAAAUUGGGCCUGGGUUUGUUUCUUGUCUUAGCUGGAGGCACAAAGCAAAGGAUUUUGUUAUCUGCAUUCAGUAAGGGGAGAAGGGCUCUGGUUCUCUCCGCUGUGGACCGAGACCUGACAGCUUCAGGGAACAGUGAUGAGAACAUGAAGGAGCCACAUCUCACUGGAGAGGUGGCCUGAUGGUUUGUUCUCCAAAGGAGCUUCUUGGAGAAGAGAGGGCACUGAAGAAAGAUUGCCCCUGACGGCAGGCCACUGGUUCUCCACACUGCUCCAUUUCCUGCAGGUAAUUCUCCAUGUUCUUCUCCAAAGCUGCCUCCAAGAUGGGCUGGGGUGGGUGGUGAUUGUUGUUGUUAUCAUCUUCCUCUUCGGCCACCCAGGCCUCAAUCACGGACCCCUCUGGAU